rnacentral:misc_RNA from 1 species
AACAUCGCGCACCUGCGGGAACCUGCGGAAGGAUCAUUACACAAUAAACAUAUGAAGGCUGCACCGCCAACAGGCGGCAAGGCUGGAGUAUUUUAUUACCCUUGUCUUUUGCGCACUUGUUGUUUCCUGGGCGGGUUCGCCCGCCUCCAGGACCACAUGAUAAACCUUUUUUAUGCAGUUGCAAUCAGCGUCAGUACAACAAAUGUAAAUCAUUUACAACUUUCAACAACGGAUCUCAGA